rnacentral:rRNA from 1 species
GAUGAACGCUGGCGGCGUGCCUAAUACAUGCAAGUCGAGCGAACAGACGAGGAGCUUGCUCCUCUGACGUUAGCGGCGGACGGGUGAGUAACACGUGGAUAACCUACUUAUAAGACUGGGAUAACUUCGGGAAACCGGAGCUAAUACCGGAUAAUAUAUUGAACCGCAUGGUUCAAUAGUGAAAGACGGUUUUGCUGUCACUUAUAGAUGGAUCCGCGCCGCAUUAGCUAGUUGGUAAGGUAACGGCUUACCAAGGCAACGAUGCGUAGCCGACCUGAGAGGGUGAUCAGCCACACUGGAACUGAGACACGGUCCAGACUCCUACGGGAGGCAGCAGUAGGGAAUCUUCCGCAAUGGGCGAAAGCCUGACGGAGCAACGCCGCGUGAGUGAUGAAGGUCUUCGGAUCGUAAAACUCUGUUAUUAGGGAAGAACAAAUGUGUAAGUAACUAUGCACGUCUUGACGGUACCUAAUCAGAAAGCCACGGCUAACUACGUG